CUAGUACUAAUUGUCAGUAUAAGUGACUUCCAAUCACCCGGUCUUGGU
rnacentral:tRNA from 1 species